rnacentral:rRNA from 1 species
GUAGGGAAUAUUGGGCAAUGGAUGCAAGUCUGACCCAGCCAUCCCGCGUGCCGGAAGAAGGCCCUCAGGGUUGUAAACGGCUUUUGACGGUGAAGAAUCGACAGGAUGCGUCCUGUUUUUACGGUAGCCGUUGAAUAAGCACCGGCUAACUCCGUGCCAGCAGCCGCGGUAAUACGGAGGGUGCGAGCGUUGUCCGGAUUUCUUGGGUUUAACUGGUGCGUAGGCUGGAGGGACAGUCAGCGGUGAAAAGCAGGUGCUCAACAAUUGUCUUGCCGCAGAUACUACCUUGCUUGGAUUGGGAGGAGGUUACCGGAACGGAUGGUGUAGCGGUGAAAUGCAUAGAUAUCAUCCAGAACGCCAAUUGCGAAGGCAGGUAACUGUACCUAUAUCGACGCUGAUGCACGAAAGCAUGGGUAGCGAACAGGAUUAGAAACCCCAGUAGUCC